UGCAGUCGAACGGUAACAGGUCUUCGGAUGCUGACGAGUGGCGAACGGGUGAGUAAUACAUCGGAACGUGCCCGAGAGUGGGGGAUAACGGAGCGAAAGCUUUGCUAAUACCGCAUACGAUCUCAGGAUGAAAGCAGGGGACCGCAAGGCCUUGCGCUCACGGAGCGGCCGAUGGCAGAUUAGGUAGUUGGUGGGAUAAAAGCUUACCAAGCCGACGAUCUGUAGCUGGUCUGAGAGGACGACCAGCCACACUGGGACUGAGACACGGCCCAGACUCCUACGGGAGGCAGCAGUGGGGAAUUUUGGACAAUGGGCGCAAGCCUGAUCCAGCCAUGCCGCGUGCAGGAUGAAGGCCUUCGGGUUGUAAACUGCUUUUGUACGGAACGAAAAGACUCUGGUUAAUACCUGGGGUCCAUGACGGUACCGUAAGAAUAAGCACCGGCUAACUACGUGCCAGC
rnacentral:rRNA from 1 species